CCUACGGGAGGCAGCAGUGGGGAAUAUUGCACAAUGGGGGGAACCCUGAUGCAGCAACGCCGCGUGGGUGAAGAAGUACUCCGGUAUGUAAAGCCCUGUCAGCAGGGAAGAAAAUUACGGUACCUGACCAAGAAGCCCCGGCUAACUACGUGCCAGCAGCCGCGGUCAUACGUAGGGGGCGAGCGUUAUCCGGAUUCACUGGGUGGAAGGGGAGCGUAGACGGCCGUGCAAGCCAGGCGUGAAAGCCCGGGGCCCAACCCCGGGACUGCUCUUGGAACUGUGCGGCUGGAGUGCGGGAGGGGCAGGCGGAAUUCCUGGUGUAGCGGUGAAAUGCGUAGAUAUCAGGAGGAACACCGGCGGCGAAGGCGGCCUGCUGGACCGCGACUGACGUUGAGGCUCGAAAGCGUGGGGAGCGAACAGGAUUAGAUACCCGAGUAGUC
rnacentral:rRNA from 1 species